rnacentral:lncRNA from 1 species
UUUGCUUUUUGUUACACAAUUUUCCUGUGCAUACAUGAGGUUGGCAGCACAGUAAAAUGGGAAGGGAUUAGCUAUUGUAUUGUAUUUGUUUAGUGUUUCCAGUGUAACUUAUUGUUUUUUCAGGUGUUAGAUAAACUCAAUGAGACUUUAACUUUUGUGGAUGGUGAGAAUCUUAAAGAGAAAUUGGUGGAAGUUUAUGAAAAUGAUGCAGACAGAGCUUUGGAAAAACUGUCUGACUACCCAGAAGAGUCUGUACAUGAUAUGAAAAAACCCAGAAAACAUUGGCAACCUGGAGCCCCUCAGACUCUACUGAAUUUUUUAGCUGGUGCUGAUGUCACAUCUGCAUGUCCUACCAUGGCUGGAAAUGAACUUGCUCACCAUGUUAUUCUGCCUGAAGACAUCCCAGAAAACAGGAAGCAGUGGAAACAGACACCACCAGAGA